GACGAACGCUGGCGGCGUGCUUAACACAUGCAAGUCGAACGGAAAGGCCCUGCUUUCGUGGUGUUCUCGUGUCGCGCGCGGGUGUGUAACACGUGAGUACCCUGCCCUUCACUUUGGUAUAACUUGAGGAAACUGUGUCUAAUCCCGGAUAGGCGCUCCUGCUGCAUGGUGGGGGUUGGAAAGUUUCGUCGGUUGGGGAUGGACUCGCGGCUUAUCAGUUUGUUGGUGGGUUAGUGGCUUACCAAGGCGUUGACGGGUAGCCGGCCUGGGAGGGUGACCGGCAACAUUGGGACGGGGAUACGGCCCGGCCUCCUACGGGGGGAGGCAGGGGGGAAUAUGGCAAAAGGGGCGGAACCCGGUGGCAGCAACGCCGGGUGCGGAAUGACGGCCUUCGGGUGGAAAACCGUUUCGCCAGGGGCGAAAGCGUGUGUGACGGUAAUGGGUAAAGAAGCACCGGCUAACUACGUG
rnacentral:rRNA from 1 species